ensembl:lncRNA
GUCCAGGACCUUAACUGGGGGUGGUGGGGGCAGAGGUCAGGUGACACUCAUAAUGGGGGUCAGGUGAGGGGCUGAUUAAUGGGCACAUGCAAUCCAAGGACUGUGUGAUGAAUUGCCAGUAGAGGAACCUUCCAUUUUCAUUUAGACAAUCAUUUCUUGCCUCUACUCUUUAAAAAAAGAGCUAACAUCAUUCCUCUCAGUGUCUUGAGCCCAUAAACCGGAAGACCUGAUAGCUGUGAGCUUCAGAAUUUCUAUCUGGUCUCUGAUACCCCCCACCUUAAGUCUCCUCCUCAUCCUCUCUCUCCUCGUGCUUGGCUUCCAUGAAGAGCAGUUGCAGGGAAGGAAAAGGAGCGGGGCUUGCCUCCUUUCGUGGUCUUGAUGACACCGCACCUGGGAUUCAUUCUGGACAACCUACACAGGGAGUCACAUGUGUUCAGAGUGUAUUAAGAAGAACAGUUAACUUUCAGCUCAGGAACUCAGACAUCAGGAUCAUUGAUGUAGCGUUGAAGGCUGGAUUUUUCUACAGUGACCGUGGUUACAGGCAGGCUACUCUCUUUUCUUGUGUUUACAUGGUUCUACUUCUGCUAAAAGGAAGCCAUUAGCAGCUAAUGCUUCAUUUUUCAUGCAUGCGCAAGAAGUGAAAGGAGUUUGGAAGAGCAGUCAUUGCAUCUAAAUGAAAAAUUAAGCUUCGCAGAGUGAUGAAAACACAACUUGUGCAGCUUCUAGUGUCAAAUGAUCAUCUCUGAGCAUGAGCUACUUAAAAUAAUAAACUUUUGAAGCAAAUGCUGGUGUUUCUUCAGCAAAUUUCUGUUCUCUGGCUUUCCUGUGGCCAACAAUGGCAUUAUGAUAUCCCCAAAGUGAAAGCAAGGUACCAACAAAUAUUUUAUACAAGUUAUACAUUAAUCUACAAUUUUAAUACUUUUUCAUUUUCUGUAAAAAUAUACUUUGAUCCUUUGAAGCUGACUGCUCCCCAAAGAGAUUAUUGUAAAAGAAAAAAUGUUUACCCAACAAUGCAAAAAAUGCUUGUUGCAGAUAGCAAUUUGUGGUAAAUGACAAAACCACUGUAAAAAAGAAUAUUCAAACUAUAGUUCCUACACUC